GACGAACGCUGGCGGCGUGCUUAACACAUGCAAGUCGAACGGAAAGGCCCUGCUUUUGUGGGGUGCUCGAGUGGCGAACGGGUGAGUAACACGUGAGUAACCUGCCCUUGACUUUGGGAUAACUUCAGGAAACUGGGGCUAAUACCGGAUAGGAGCUCCUGCUGCAUGGUGGGGGUUGGAACGUUUCGGCGGGUGGGGAUGGACUCGCGGCUUAUCAGCUUGUUGGUGGGGUAGUGGCUUACCAAGGCUUUGACGGGUAGCCGGCCUGAGAGGGUGACCGGCCACAUUGGGACUGAGAGACGGCCCAGACUCCUACGGGAGGCAGCAGGGGGGAAUAUUGCACAAUGGGCGGAAGCCUGAUGCAGCAACGCCGCGUGCGGGAUGACGGCCUUCGGGUUGUAAACCGCUUUCGCCUGUGACGAAGCGUGAGUGACGGUAAUGGGUAAAGAAGCACCGGCUAACUACGUG
rnacentral:rRNA from 1 species